rnacentral:rRNA from 1 species
GACGAACGCUGGCGGCGUGCUUAACACAUGCAAGUCGAACGGAAAGGCCCUGCUUUUGUGGGGUGCUCGAGUGGCGAACGGGUGAGUAACACGUGAGUAACCUGCCCUUGACUUUGGGAUAACUUCAGGAAACUGGGGCUAAUACCGGAUAGCAGCUCCUGCUGCAUGGUGGGGGUUGGAAAGUUUCGGCGGUUGGGGUUGGACGCGCGGGUGAACAGCUUGUUGGUGGGGUAGUGGCUUACCAAGGGAUUGACGGGUAGGCGGCAUGGGAGGGUGGCCGGCGACAUUGGGACUGCGGUACGGCCCAGACUGGUACAUGGGGCAGCAGUGGGGAAUAUUGCACAACGGGCGGGAGCCGGAUGAAGAGGCGCCGCGGGCGGGAUGACGGCCUUCUGGUUGUAAACCGCUUUCGCUUGUGACGAAGCGUGAGUGACGGUAAUGGGUAAAGAAGCACCGGCUAACUACGUG